rnacentral:lncRNA from 1 species
AUUUAAGCAGUUUUUAGUUAAGAACAUCAUAUCAAUCCAAGACAGCUUUAAAUGUGAAGGAAUUAUAACUAGAGACUAGUAUAUACAAAAUAGUGUAAAGCAUCUAAGACAUGGAUGUUUCUGAAGAAGUGCAAGUUGAAUAAAGUUCUUCCUAUGUCUAUUUAUAGAAUUAAACUUCCAAUAAAGUCAAAGAAAAUUAUAUGGAAUACAAAACAUAUAUGUCUGUCUGUGGUGAUAACAGAAGCAAAAAGAAGAUAUUAUCAAUUAAAAGAUCAAACUGAGAAGAUAGAAGAAGGCUUGUUAAAUAAUGCAAAAAUUCAAUUUAUCAAAGAAGUUACAGAGUUAAGAUACAAAUUAUUGAUCUUAAGAGAAAUUGAGGCAGCUACGUAUUAAAAAACUUAAGUGGAUUUUUAUGAAGCAACUAGGUAAACAAAAGAAGUCUACAGUUCUGUUGCAGGAUAUUAUUGGAGUAAUAGGUGAUAUUGGAUACUUACAUAUGCUAAAGAGUUC